UUCAGAGAUUAUUGGGCAUUAGUGGGUCAGGGGAAGUGGGACGGGGACAGAGUAAGAAACAGUCUACAAAGUUCUCUUCAUUAGGGAUGCCAUGUUCUGGCCUUUUAAAAUAAAGCUUAGCUUAAUCACCUCUGAGCUUUCUGGACUGUCUCUUUCCUUCUUUCUCUGUUGUCUUUCCUCACACCUGUCUUCUUCUUCUCUAGGCUGUGGUAUCUUCAGUCCUUCUGCAAUCCAAGGAAGGCAAAUGAGGACUUUUCCCAUCUUGCACAACUGUCUAUAUGAAGAGCUCUGCUUAUGUAAAUGGUAGAUUUUACGGAGGGUAUGUGGGGCCCAUUGUGGAUGAAUGUGAGUGGGGUGAGGAAGAGAAGCCCAAAGGGGCUUCGGCUGGAGCUGCAGCUGCAGUGGGCAGGUGUAGGGUCUGGGUGGGUGGUCUUGGGACACAAGGAGCCUAGAACAUGGUGGGAGCUGGAUUCCCCUGAAGUCUUUCUGGAGGUGAGACUUCUCCAGAGUGGUAACGUAACAUCCUUGCUAUGUUGUAUGAUUUCCUGUGGUUGCCCUAAUCAUUGCCCAAGGGCAAAUAAUGUUUCCUAGUCAGGAGCCUAGCCACAGUUGCCGUGGUGAUGAUGGAGCCACUGAUCCAUGCAACAUAUGAAAUCUCUGGCUAGGAUCAGGCAGUAAACUACAGCGAGCUGCGAGGGUCAGAUGCAGAAAGGUGAGCAUUGGUAGUCAAGAGAAUUAGACACACCAGAGGGGUUGUAACCUUCAUCCCACCCUGGGAACUUUGAAAGACCGAAUCUCAGAUUUAAUUUGUGACAACAUCCACCCCUUAUGUCCCCUGGCUAGAGCCAUUUCUACACAAGAGCAGGAUGUUUCUGCUCUAUCUCUGAACUGUCCUGGUUCUACCCACCGGUUCACCCUGCCAAAGGAAUGGAUUCCCCAUGGUGUCCUUUCAAGGAGGGGAGGACACAGAGACACACAGGGGAGAAAGCCACGUGAGAAGAGAGGCAAAGAUGGGAGUUAUACAGCUCCAAGACCACAAAUGUCUGGAACCACAAGCAGCUGCAAGAGGCAAGGUCUCCACUCUAAAAGCAAACCCUUGGGGGACCUCAGUGGCUCUGUCGGUUAAGCAUCUAUCUUCUGCUCCGGUUGUGAUCAUGAGGUGCUGGGAUGAAGGCUGGCCUCGGGCUCCCUGCUCAGCUGGGAGUCUGCUCUCACUCCCU